UAUAACAAACCCUAGCAAAGGAACGCUGAGCCUCCAACGUAUAUAUAUAUAUAUAUAUAUAUAUAUAGGAUGGGUCUAUUAUGAUAACACCCUUAAGACUCUUAUUCUGAUAACAAAAACCUUAUUCUGCUAACACUGCUUCCGGACCGAACCUCCUCCCAGCGGCGCUCGGUCAACCCCCACCCCGGGGCAACAACUCCCCACACCACCCCGCAGUGCCCGCCCGCCCACUCCCUCUCCUACUCCAGAUCUCGCUCCCACGUCCUGGUCGGCGAUCGAUCCGGCCCUCCCUUGGGCGCGCGCCUCCAGCCUCCUACCCCAGCGCUGCCCCCCUCCCACCGCUUUUUCCUUCUUCCUGGUGCGCGGAGGUCGCCCCCACCCGCUCCGGCCAAACCUCCCUCGACCCUGCCGCCGGGCGCUGCUCCCGCCACCUCCACGGCCUCGCCCUGCCCCACGCCUAGAGAGCAGGCGGGCUUCCCUCUUCCUCCUCUCAGGUGAGACCUCCCCCAGAUGUGACGGCGCGACCCGUGCUCCUCCUCGAGCUCAGGCCGGCUAACGGCGUUGGCCAAAAGCUCCCUGGUCCCGGAUCCACACCACCCCGACCGGGAUCCGGUGGAGGACGGUCAUGUGGAGGCGAUGGUCGCUGGCUCCCCCAUGGCAGGCAUCUGCUCUGCUCCGUCCCCACUCCCCACGUUGAUGAGCACCACGACGGCGAGAUCUUGCCGAGUCCUCCCCUCCUACGUGACACGCCACCAUCCCCGUGAAGGUGUGCUUUUCGACUCGCCCCGAGCUCCUCCCGUGCAGCUCGGAGACGCUCACCAUGUGGUUCGGAGCUCGUGUUCGUGCAGUCCGGCGAGCGCCAUCUCUUCGCCUGUGCUUUGUCGACCAUGGCCGUGCAACUCGCAGACGCUCGCCAUGCGGUUCGGAGCUCGUGCUCGUGCAGUCGGGAAAGCACCAUCUCUUUCCCUGCAGUUCGUCGACCAUGCCCAUGCGACUCAGAGAUGCUCGCCUUGCGGUUCAGGGCUGGAGUGCGUGCAGUCUGGCGAGUGUCCGUGCAUGUGCAGUCCGGCGAGCGUCCGUGCACACCAGCACCUCUGCCACAACAUUCAGACGAGAUUCCCUGGUUUGGAAAAUGCAAACUUUUCGAUUAUAAGAUCAAUUAGGUCCCUUAUUUAUUUGGUCCGGUGUUCUCUUGCGGUUGAGUUUACCUUUUUUUAGAUGAAAAGAUGAACAUCAAAGUACAGAAAAAGUGCACUGUAGUUUCUUGCGGUUCUCUUUACUUAAUUUUUCAGGUGGAAAACACAUCAAAGUACAGAAAAAAGUGCGCUGCAGCCCGUUGUUCUCUUGUGGUUCAGUUAACUUUUUUUCAGGUGAAAAAAGAUGAACAUUGGAAAAAAAUGCAGUUUGCUUGUCUCUUUCGGAUGUCCAUUCCUUCCGCUCUCCUAGUGUUCCUAAAGAAAUUAUCUGUUUAGAUUUGCAGUACAGUGCAUAGUGCAAAGGAGCUCCCUUUGUAAAAUGUUUGCAGUACAGAGGAGCUCUCGUUGUAAAAGGAUUGCAGUACAAUGCAUAUCACAGAGGAGUUUACUUUGUAAAAAAUUGUACGAGUUCACUUUUUGUUAUUUUUGAAGGAAAUGUUUUUGCAUAUUUGUAUGGACAUAAUUUAUAAUUUGUUAAAGAAGGAUCAGAUCAUUGAGAAA